rnacentral:rRNA from 1 species
UACGAAGGGGGCUAGCGUUGCUCGGAAUCACUGGGCGUAAAGCGCACGUAGGCGGACUCUUAAGUCGGGGGUGAAAUCCUGGAGCUCAACUCCAGAACUGCCUUCGAUACUGGGAGUCUUGAGUACGGGAGAGGUGAGUGGAACUGCGAGUGUAGAGGUGAAAUUCGUAGAUAUUCGCAAGAACACCAGUGGCGAAGGCGGCUCACUGGCCCGUAACUGACGCUGAGGCACGAAAGCGUGGGGAGCAAACAGG